CCUGACAUCCUCCUGCGAAGUAAUGGAUCAAGAAACUGCCUGAAGGAAUUUAAUCUUUGUUCAUCACCAUCAGUUGCACUCAAUUCUGACUGCCGCACCUCAUCACUUGUACCAGCACCGCCUUCCUCUGCAUCAACCUUAGAUUCUUCAAGCAGUGCUAUCUGCCAAAGAAUUUCACGAUGAAUACGACCAAUAUCUUCCAAGACAUCUUUGCUACCAUUUCCAAACUCUGUUAAUAGAGCAGUGACCCGUCGGUUGUCUUUGGAGGCAGCCAAAAAUAAAAGAAACUCAACUAGAAAAAGUGAAGAAAAAGUCUUUUCUUGAAUAUUUUUAGGAUCCAGCAGAAAAGCACCAGAAACAACAUCAAAACCAGACAAUGCUUUUU
rnacentral:lncRNA from 1 species